UACGGGGGGGGCAAGCGUUGUUCGGAAUUACUGGGCGUAAAGGGCUUGAAGGCGGCCGAUUAAGUCGGUUGUGAAAUCCCUCGGCUCAACCGAGGAACUGCGUCCGAUACUGAUCGGCUUGAAUCCGGGAGGGGGAUGCGGAAUUCCAGGUGUAGCGGUGAAAUGCGUAGAUAUCUGGAGGAACACCGGUGGCGAAGGCGGCAUCCUGGACCGGUAUUGACGAUGAGGAGCGAAAGCUAGGGGAGCAAACGGG
rnacentral:rRNA from 1 species